rnacentral:rRNA from 1 species
GCUAGCGGCAGGCCUAACACAUGCAAGUCGAGGGGCAGCGGGGAUAAGCUUGCUUAUCCGCCGGCGACCGGCGCACGGGUGCGCAACGCGUAUAGAAUCUGCCCUGUACUGGGGAAUAGCCCAGAGAAAUUUGGAUUAAUGCCCCAUGGUAUGUAUUAGCGGCAUCGCUUAUACAUUAAAGGCUACGGUACAGGAUGACUAUGCGUCCCAUUAGUUAGUUGGUAAGGUAACGGCUUACCAAGGCAGCGAUGGGUAGGGGCCCUGAGAGGGGGAUCCCCCACACUGGUACUGAGACACGGACCAGACUCCUACGGGAGGCAGCAGUGAGGAAUAUUGGACAAUGGGCGGGAGCCUGAUCCAGCCAUGCCGCGUGCAGGAAGACGGUCCUAUGGAUUGUAAACUGCUUUUGUACGGGAAGAACAAGGGGCACGUGUGCCCCUC